UAGUUAGCUGCAAAGAAAUAGGGAGAGAUGGUUGAUGGCAUUGCUGAGUCCUUUUCAGAGCUCGGGGAAGACCUUAGCAGAAAAGGAAAUGCUGGACACCCUGUUCUAGCAGCCAUCCUGCUUCCUGUCAACAGUAAGCACAGCACGGGUCCCUUCUGUAGAGAUGGAACAAAUUCUACCCGUGGGCCCACCAUUCUACACUGCAGCCACCUUAACUUUUCUGGUACCUGGCAGUUCAUCAAUUGGCAAGGGAGGGGCCACUCAUGUGAUACAUACACUGGAAGAAACCUGAGCCUCAGGAAAACCAUCCUCUCCUCUGGUGCAGGUUUAGAUGUCAUCUGUGGAAUAGACACCACUGGCCAUGCACAUCUCCGUCCAUCGGUGUGAGAGAGCAGAGAUCUCAGAAAAUGCUCGUCAUUCACAGGAACAUUUGCAGAAGUGGAAAGCCCUUGAGGAUGCCUGGCUUCCUGAAUGAUCCACCCAUCCCUUGGCUAUCUCUAGUGAGAAUGGAGGCACUUAAAUAUUUCUAUCUGAUAGCUCAGAAUUCCUGCUAGAAGUGAACUGGAAGACAGAAGUGGGUUAUAGAAAGAUGUAGUUUUUCCACUCACGAUUUGUAGCAGUGAGCAGCUGACAGGACCCACUGGCUGCUGAUGAGGGAACCUCCACAGAAGUGAUAUCCAGAAUUCAGGGACACCUGAUAGGGCACAGAGUUCCUUGCACAGGUGUAGC